rnacentral:rRNA from 1 species
UACAGAGGUCUCAAGCGUUGUUCGGAUUCAUUGGGCGUAAAGGGUGCGUAGGCGGCGCGGUAAGUCGGGUGUGAAAUCUCGGGGCUUAACUCCGAAACUGCAUUCGAUACUGCCGUGCUUGAGGACUGGAGAGGAGACUGGAAUUUACGGUGUAGCGGUGAAAUGCGUAGAUAUCGUAAGGAAGACCAGCGGCGAAGGCGGGUCUCUGGACAGUUCCUGACGCUGAGGCACGAAGGCCAGGGGAGCAAACGGG